ACUGAUUUUAUUUUAAGGUUUCUGAUUCAACAGGUUAUACUUAAAGGUCCCUGCGUGGCAGGCAUACACUAAUUUUAUUUUAAGGUUUUUGAUUUAACAGAUUAUACUUAAAGGUCCCUGCGUGGCAGGCAUACAAUGAUUUUAUUUUAAGGUUUCUGAUUCAACAGGUUAUACUUAAAGGUCCCUGCGUGGCAGGCAUACACUGAUUUUAUUUUAAGGUUUUUGAUUUAACAGGUUAUACUUAAAGGUCCCUGCGUGGCAGGCAUACACUGAUUUUAUUUUAAAGUUUCUGAUUCAACAGGUUAUACUUAAAGGUUCCUGCGUGGCAGGCAUGUACAAGGUCCCAAACCUCUGGUUUAGGCAUAGUUUUACGAACAUAAACUUAGGUUAUGUAAAACGUCAAGAAUUUAUAUUGUGGCUAAGUUACUUUUAUUUUGGAAAGUUGGAUCCUUAAACUAGUUUUGUUUAGCCUUAACCCUCAGAGGUUAAUAUGGCAAGCCUUGAAAUUUUUGUUUUGCUUUGAUGUUGUAAAAGUAACUGCCAGUAAAAUCAGUUAAGGAAAUUUUGUCUUCAAGAUUAAUUCAGAUUAAUUCUGAUUUGUUCCCCGAAUAUAUUUUGAACAGUAAGUGUUCUGAAAUAUUUACAGAUUACCGCUGUCAAAGUUUACACGCUGUCAUGUGUUCAGACUGCAAACGGUGCGAGGACACCCCGACGCCAGGAAGGCCGUGAUAGCUGGCUUCUCUAAAUUACGUCAGCUUACGACACCUGAUCUCCGAGACCGCCGCAGCGUGGCCCUUCUUCGAAAAACAAAGCUGGAGCAAUAUUGCGAAUGUUGCAUCAUUCUUAUAAGUUUAGUGAGUUUUAGAUCGACUUUCGAACUGUUCACGUAUUUCUAAGCGGAAUAAAACGUAUUUUGAGGAA